rnacentral:rRNA from 1 species
AUGCGGCAUGGAAUAGUCUAAAUUAGGUCGUCUGCGGUGGUGUAUUGUUGUAGUGAUGGUAGAUCGCCCGCAGACAACAGCAGCGCGUGUGUGUGUGGCAGUCAGAAUACGGAAUCAGAUACAACUUUUAACAAUGGAUCUCUUGGCUCUUGCAACGAUGAAGAACGCAGUAAAGUGCGAUAUGAAGUGCGAUUUGCAUGAAUCUGUGAGUCAUCAUAUCUUUGAACGCAACUUGCGCCCGUCCGCGGGCAUGUCUGUUUGAGUGUCGCUAAUAACUGGGAUUUAUCUCCAACUGCCGGCAUUGAUGCGGGUUAAACAGAGCAUGGGUCGGCGAGACGGCAGCCUGGGCCAGAGAGCACUGCUCUUUCAGGACGGCAGUCUCCAAGACCGCCAUAUCACACCUAGACCUCAAAUCAGGCAAGACUACCCGCUGAACUUAA